rnacentral:rRNA from 1 species
CCGCGUGAGCGAAGAAGGUCUUCGGAUCGUAAAGCUCUGUUGUCAGGGAAGAACAAGUGCCGUUCGAACAGGGCGGUACCUUGACGGUACCUGACGAGGAAGCCACGGCUAACUACGUGCCAGCAGCCGCGGUAAUACGUAGGUGGCAAGCGUUGUCCGGAAUUAUUGGGCGUAAAGCGCGCGCAGGCGGUUCCUUAAGUCUGAUGUGAAAUCUCGCGGCUCAACCGCGAGCGGCCAUUGGAAACUGGGGAACUUGAGUGCAGGAGAGGGGAGCGGAAUUCCACGUGUAGCGGUGAAAUGCGUAGAGAUGUGGAGGAACACCAGUGGCGAAGGCGGCUCUCUGGCCUGUAACUGACGCUGAGGCGCGAAAGCGUGGGGAGCGAACAGGAUUAGAUACCCUGGUAGUCCACGCCGUAAACGAUGAGUGCUAAGUGUUAGAGGGUAUCCACCCUUUAGUGCUGCAGCAAACGCAUUAAGCACUCCGCCUGGGGAGUACGGCCGCAAGGCUGAAACUC